rnacentral:snRNA from 1 species
GUCUCUUCGGGGACAUCCGAUAAAAUUGAAACGAUACAUAGAAGAUUAGCAUGGCCUCCGCGCAAGCAUGAUGCGCACAAAUUGAGAAAUGGUCCAAGUUUUG